AACGAACGCUGGCGGCAUGCCUAACACAUGCAAGUCGAACGAUGCCUUCGGGCAUAGUGGCGCACGGGUGCGUAACGCGUGGGAAUCUGCCCUUGGGUUCGGAAUAACUCAGAGAAAUUUGAGCUAAUACCGGAUGAUGACGUAAGUCCAAAGAUUUAUCGCCCAAGGAUGAGCCCGCGUAAGAUUAGCUAGUUGGUGGGGUAAAGGCCUACCAAGGCGACGAUCUUUAGCUGGUCUGAGAGGAUGAUCAGCCACACUGGGACUGAGACACGGCCCAGACUCCUACGGGAGGCAGCAGUGGGGAAUAUUGGACAAUGGGCGAAAGCCUGAUCCAGCAAUGCCGCGUGAGUGAUGAAGGCCUAGGGUUGUAAAGCUCUUUUACCAGGGAUGAUAAUGACAGUACCUGGAGAAUAAGCUCCGGCUAAACUCCGUGCCAGCAGCCGCGGUAAU
rnacentral:rRNA from 1 species